rnacentral:tRNA from 1 species
AUAAAUUUAUCUUAAAUAAAGAGUUUGUUUUGAAAACAAAAAAUUUUAUAAAAAAAAAAUUAAAUAAUAAUAAUAAUUUUUA